AGUCCUUCCCCUCCCCUCCAGAGCCUCCUGGACAACAGGUCCUUCCUGAGGUCUGUGGAUGCUGACUUUCAGGGGAUCAUGAGAGGCUGAGUUCCCAGAGUCCAGUCUGAGGGAAUUCUGACCAGAUCAUGUCAGCAGUGGGCACCGAUCAAGGACACCUUCUGUGGAUUCAGCCAUGAGCCAGGUCAGGGGUCAGGGAGUAGGAAUAGAAGAAUAAAGGGCACCAAGAAGUCUGCUGCUUUUAUAAACCUGUUGUCUUUCAUUUACUGCACAUUCGACUGUCUGCUGUGUGCGUAGUGCUGUACUGAUCCUGGGCACACACAGUCCUCCUGCAAGAUAGCAGCACGCGGUGCAGUGAAGCUCCCCUUAGGUACCCACUUUGAGCCCCAGGAUUCAUGUUUCCAGCUCCUGGCUUCCAACAGGACUGGGCUCCAGGCAGCAUUCCACAACAUCCUGUAAGCCUCUUCCCACUGGGUGCUAUCUGUCGUCACGCAGAGUCCCCCUGCUUCGUUCCUCACCCCUCUGGCUGCCCAGGGCUCCCUGACACCAAAGCUUCUAAGAGAAAGCUCCAGGCUGAGGACUGCUUAACUACAUAGUUUUCCUCGAGCCCAGGAAGAAUUCACUCCUGUUCUCUCUGCCCCCGGAUCCUGUACUGAUGGGAAAUCCAUACAUUACAGGUGAGGGAGCUGAGUGGCAGGGAAGAGGCACAUGUAGGCUUUCCCAGGGUCUCCCAGUGAGUCAGGCUGUGCAGCUGAUCUAGAGCCCCCAGCUGGGUGAUUCAUGCAGCCACUAGAGGCCUCAGCUGCUCCAGACCGCUCAUCAGCUCAGGCUGUCCCAUGAGUCACACCUUUGCUUCACGGGCCUGGCCCCUGGAGCCAAAGGGGCCUCACCUCACAGUUAUUCUCUUAUUCACCUGUGUCCACGGCCUUCAAGCCUCCAACAGCCAGGAGAGGGAAGGCCAGGCUCUGGCUCCAAGGAGAAGACAGGGCCAGCAGGCCCAGCUGGUUGAUUACUGGAAAACAACAUACUAAGGCUCUUCAGAGGGUAGAGAACCCCAGAAGCCAGGACUGCUGUUUGACCGUUCUUCAAAUCUGCCAGAGCCGGGAAGAAGGCACUGUGGCCAGAGGACCCCACCCACAGAGAAUUCUGAGACUCACACUGUUGACUGGACUUGCCCUCAGACAGGAGUAGCAACUGGCAAAGCAAAUGCUAUGUUUUCUGAGAGACCAGCCCAACUUUUCCAUCUACCACGGUGGGCUUGUGCCAGGGGCCACAACAAGGGCACAGCUGGGACCUCUCCGAGGGCCCUGAAGGAAGGGGCUGCCACACCAAUAAGAAGGCCCAGAUUGCCCCAGUGAGAGGCAGGCACUAGGAAAACAGUGAUGGAGCUCUUAGGGAAGCAGCGAGCUCUGAUGGGGACCCAGUUCUGUCAGCAAACCUGUUGAGCACCUAUUCUACCAGCCUCUCUGUUGAGAAAGCAGAAAUUAGUAAGACCCAGUCCUGCCCUCAAGGAUCCAGCUCAUGAUUUGGCAAGGAAGCCAGUCAGGCACAAGGCUAACCCUGGAAUAAGUCAGUCUGCAAUGUAUACAGGCAGGAGCAGAGUCUAUGAAAGGCUAAAGAAAGGAGGGACUAAGUCUGACGGAGUGGAUCGGGAAGGCCAGGAGGCUAGUCCUGGGCCAUGAUGCCAGUUGGUCUGGUAGAUGGCCUGAGACCCAGUCAGAGAUCAUGCUGAGAUUUUCAACCCAGGAGAUGGGCAUAGUGGUGGCAUUAGGGACAGAAAUGGAGUAAUUGGAAAGAGGAGUGGCUUUUAGGUGAGAUAACAGGUCAGUUGAUCUCCUUGCACUGGAGACAUGUGGAAAUCCAGACCUGAGGUGUGUGUGUGAGACUGGGGAUGAGUGCGAGGGUCUGCGGCCUAAAAACAAAGCAGCGGGAGUGAAGGAAUUCUUGGAAGAGGGAGUCAGUGCAAGGCCUGAGAUGAGGCCUUUAGACUCCUGCCACCUCUCCUUUCCCCCCAGUUGCCUUCUCACCCUCAAAUGGCGCCUCAUCUUUCUGAAUCCAGUGCUGACUCCUGCUCUGAUCCAGCUCUCGCCCUAGAGUUUGCCUGUGCACUUGAAAGCAUUUGUCCUUAUUCAUAUCCUUACUAGCAGGAGCCUGGGAAUCCUCCCAGAGGCGGCCUUUAUCGCCUAAGACUUGCCACUCGUUAGAGCACCUGCCUCUUGCAAAACUGCCCGACCACGCCUCCCUGCAGCUGCUCCUGUUCUCCAUCACAGAUACAGUACCUGGACUCCAUGAACGGUGAGGAUCUGCUUCUGACAGGGGAGCUGAACCACUUGGGGUUACCUGAGGAGACUACCCUGUAUGUUGUCUCUGCCUGGAAUGCUGUCCGCUCUUCUGACUAAAGAAAUUCCACAUGUCCCCUAAUACCACCCUCUCCUGUUCACCCCAGGCAGUAUUCUCCAGAGGAAUGAUUUUUUUACAUACCCGCCCUCCAUCCUGCACUGUGAGUACCUUCAGAGUGGGCAUUGGUGUUUGGAUCAGUCGCCUUUGUUUUUCCAGCGUCCAGCAGCGUGGCUGGACCUUAGUAGGCAUCAGUGUAAGCUUUGAUAAAUGAAAGAAGGAAUGAGUGACUAAAUCACCAAUCAUUAUCUAUACAAGCCCAACAAAAAGCCCCUUUCUGGACCAUUCUCUCAGUCGGUACUACAGUUCAGCUUAUUUUAAUAAUUCAGUACGAAGUACCUCCUUUGGCCCUCGAAUAGGAACAAAAGCCAGAUGUUCUUUCUAUAGCUAAACAUUUUUCUAUUGCAAAUUGUUAUUAUACAGAACAAGUGAAAGACAUGUUUUCUUUGCUCUCAGGGAGAUUGCUCUCUAGGAAUAAUUUUGUCCUGUAUUUGCACUCUGUAUACCUCCAGAAAGGAUCACAGCAAAUUAAGAGACACAGGUGUAAAAACUGCAAAACGAUUGAAACAAAGUUUAAGAGAUAAGAUGCAAGUAUUGGUAGGUUAGAAAACCUAGCCCGCUAAUAACCGACUUUCACGUGACUUUUUCAGCAAUUUAUAAAGUGUGAUCUCACGUGUGCAUUGUCUCGCAGCAGUCCUGUAAAAUAGGUAUUGUUCUCCUGAUUCUUAUCCCCUUUACACAAGAGACGAGACGCGACUACAGCUCAGAGAGGCCUGGAAGAUGAACCGGAGUAAGAAGGGGCCUAGAGUGCCCAGCCCUCAUCUUCAGCCCUGGGGCCCUUGCUCCCUCCCCACCCCGCACUGCUUCCCGCAGGUCAGUGAGGAAAUCUGCAGUUGAGUAUAAAACCUUGCUCUGAGCUCCCUGGAAGCCAAAGGCAGAAAUGAGACAGGCUGAAGGUUAUGUACUUCCCAUUGUCACAUGAAAGGAAUUAUACUUAUUCAUCAGAAGAAACAAAUGUUUUCCUUACUCUUCCCAGAAUAUAUUAUAGGGUCUUAAAAUGAGAACCACUGAACAAUGUUGCGAAUAGUACCCCUAAGAUUCCAGAUUUGCCUAAAAUUUUAAAAAUUGCAAGUAUUGCUUUCUUACAUCAAGCUGAGAUUAAAGCCCAGGCUACGCUUCAGCCAGUGUUUUUUGUGUUUCUGUUCUGCGCCAGACGCUGCUUGGUGUUUUCAGUUCGUAUCUCAUUUAAUCCUCAGUGACAGUUCUGUGAGGCAAGUGUUAUUUAUAAGUUCAUGUUACUGCUGAGGGGGACUGAAGCUCAGGGAAGCCCAGAUUUACCUUGCAUGCAGACUGAGGCGGUUCUGACACCCAAGUCCAAUGCUUUUAGUUCUAGAAAAGGAGUACUAGGUGGGGAAAGGGUCAGUUGUGCUACCUUAAAAAGUAAAGGGAAAACUAAAGCAGUAUUCCAGCCACGUGGGCUUCUGUGGGCACAUACACAUACUAACAGGAAAAGUCAGAACAAGGGAGUUCAGGUUCAAGGUUCAGAAAAGCUUUCGAGGAGUUGGAACAUAAAGGAUGGGCAAGGUUUAGGUAGGUGGAAAGAAAAACAGGAAGUGUGGCUCCGCGGCACGGAGCAGGAAACUUCAGACUCAAGUGGAGCAGCUGAGUCGGUUGCCAGGGAAGAAGAGGUUGCCGAGAUCCAGAUGGGGCCACUGCUCAGGGAAGCCUGGGUAACGCUGCAUCUGGCAGGGACUGUGACCUGAUGGGAGUGCAGGUGCACAGCGGCGUGCCGGGUGGAUGGGCGCAGUCAGGAAGGAUUCUAGCCAUCUAGGCUUGAAGGCCUGGGGGCAAUUGUGGAAAUACAGCGGAAGUUCAAACCCCAGAGGCAUUGCAGGGAGUAAAAUCGUCAGGACUUGAUGCCUCACUGAACAUGAAACCUGAAGAAAGCUGUUCAGGGCUCUCCUGGGAGCAGGGUGGGAGAUGGUGAUGUCUAGCAGAAGACGGGAGCGUGAAAAGAAGAAUCUUUGCAUUGCGGUUUUUUUCGGGUGCUAAUUACAUUAUCCUAUGAGAUAGGGCAGGGCAGGGAUUAUUGUCCCCACGAUGCACUAGGGAAGCAGGUCCACUGAGGAGAAACCACUUACAUAGCGAAGCUGACCAGUCUCAUGUCUUCAAGCCCCACCCCACUGCUUUGGUGCAUGUUGGUUGUGUCUGUAUGGGGAGCUGGUCUGACGGAAGAUGCAUCGGGGGGGGGGCAAGGGCAUAGGGCAGGCCUGGACCUUGGGGGAUGAUGAGGACCUCGGGGCCAAGGACUUUGGCCCUGCCUUGGGUAUAGAAGGGACACCUGAAGUCAUGAAACUGGAUGAGCUCCCAGAGACGAAAUGUGGCGGGUAGAAAAGGGAGUGGGGUGGGCGUGGGAGAAAGCAUCCACCGGGGGUUGGUGGGGACGGGGGUAGGAAGAUAGUAGGAACCAGCGUAGGAGGCGGAAUCAGGAGUAAAAGCCAGGCGUGGGCGGUGUGGGUGGACCUUCCAGGAGGAGGAGGCUCUUAAGGAGUAAGUGGGUGGAGCUUAAGGGCUUUAGACUCCCAGGAACAAGACUUGAGAGCAGGUUAUGGCAACAGUUGUGGUAUCUUGGGAGAUGCCUAGAUGAGAAAGAACGGAGAAAAAUCGGGCGGGAGAUAGGAGAGCAGGUGUUUUCAGCACAGGAAAGAACUGAAGAUGUGCAUGGGGGUGUCUGAUUAAGUGUAAAGCAAUGAGCGGAGUAGGAAGCGUCCCUCAAACGUGAGGAAUUAGGGUUAGAUCCCUCUGGAAGUGGAAGCCUGGUCUGGAGAACAAGGGCCUGGCUUUGGAGGGGAGGAGGGAAGCCUUUCCUGAGACCAGAGAUUGGAGGACAGGUGGGGGGCAAGUGAUUUUCUGAGGUGAGGGCCCAGAGGGAAGGGAGCUCACACUGGUCUCCAUGCCCGGGGAACCUAGAGUUUAUCAGCGCUUGGAGUGAGGUGGGGAGGGAAGGGGAGUGGGCAGUUUGUGGUCCGAGAACACGACAGUCCCAAAGUGAACCCUUCCCUUGGGAGCAGCCCUUUACUUGCUACCCUGGUUCUGCCCCCUUCAGCCUUCUCCCACUGCAUCCCACUGUGCCCUGACCACUGACACCAUGGACUCGGCCUUAGGGAGGACAGGCCAGACCUCAGGCCCCUGGCCAUGAUCUUCUACCCCCUCACUCCGCCCUGGUGAUAAGCACCCCUCACGAGUUUUCUGUGGCUUCCAGGGGACUUCCCUCAAGCCAUGCUGCUGAGCCCAGGGCCCAGACCCUGCCCAGGUCAAGGGCCUCCAUCCCUCUGAUGAGGCGAGAAAAGGUCCUGGAGAUCCUGGCCGGGGAUUUCCGGGAAGGGAAUCUUCAAGCACUGACCCGUUAAGUCAAAAAGUGAUAGAACGCAAUGUGAGCACUAGAAGGUACUUGGAGACCUCCAGCCUCUUGCUCUACGGAUGGGAGACUGAGGCCUUGAGGGUCUCACUCAAGUUUUCACAGUCAGGAACCAGAAUCACUGACCUGUGCUGGCUUGCUUCUUCCCUCUUUUUCUCUCUCCCUGUGGCCAGAAACAGUUCCUUCACCUCCCAGUCACCAUGUGAGAAAGAGCCUACAACAAGGCUGUACUCUAAUUGGGGGUGGAGGGCGGAACGUGGUUCCUCUAAGCUUCCAGAAUGGCUCAUGAGCUCUAAACCCCAAGCAACUGGUUUAUACCUCGGCUUAUUCUGUGGCUUAUAAUUAUUUCUCAGUCUGCCUUCCCCACUAAACAGAGUUCCUCCAGGGCACAGACCUAGUCUUACUGAUCUUUGGGACCACAGUGCUGGCCUACAGUAAGCAUUAAAUAUACAUUGGGUGGACUGAAUGGGCACAGGAAGAGGGGAUGGGGAGGGAGAUGUGGCUGGAUCAAUAAUGUUGGGGGAUUAAGAGAUCAAUGGUGGGCUUCCCUGGUGGCGGUGU